GAAUAUUGGACAAUGGGCGCAAGCCUGAUCCAGCCAUACCGCGUGGGUGAAGAACGCCUUCGGUUUGUAAAGCCCUUUUGUUGGGAAAGAAACGCAGUCGGCUAAUAUCCGGUUGUUCUGACGGUACCCAAAGAACAAGCACCAGCUAACUUAGUGCCACCAUCCGCGGUAAUACGCAGGGUGCAAGAGUUACUCGGAAUUACUGGGCGUCAAUCGUGCGUAGGUGGUUGUUUAAGUCUGGUGUGAAAGCCCUGGGCUCAACCUGGGAAUUGCAGUGGAUACUGGGCGACUAGAGUGUGGUAGAGGGUAGUGGAAUUCCCGGUGUAGCAGUGAAAUGCGUAGAGAUCGGGAGGAACAUCCAUGGCGAAGGCAGCUACCUGGACCAACACUGACACUGAGGCACGAAAGCGUGGGGAGCAAACAGG
rnacentral:rRNA from 1 species